rnacentral:lncRNA from 1 species
ACAGUUUGCUGGACCUCACAGAGGUGAUUGAUGCAGCAUCCCCCCGGGAGCCGGGUGAAAUCACAGACUCCAGCAGCAGCUUCUGAGAUGACUGUGGCUAACAAAUUUUUCCAGCAACACAGAGCUGAGAGGAUUGGGAUCUCAGAGAAGAAGGAGCCCUGCAUUCUUGGCUUCAUCUGCCUGGAGUGGAGUUUCCAUCAUGCUGAGCUGGAGGUGCACGGGGCCAGGGAAUGAGCAAGUCGUAGCUCAAAUGUCCCAGACUCUUACUAUUCUUAUUGAAAUUUAGUAGGUUUUCUUGAAUAAAUGUUUCUUCAUCUGCUGUAUGCCCUUAGGACAAUUCCCAGGAACAUACAUCUAUAUUGAUAUCAAUAUAAAUAUAAAUAGAUAAUUAUGUAUGUAUAACUUUAGCAGUUUUACUUGUUCUGCUGGAAAGAAGGUCUGGAAGGUUUGCAGAGCUGCUCAUGCCACCAUUCCAGAAGUUAUCCACCAGUUCAUUGCUUUUUGCACAGUAGUAUUCCAUUGCAUGUCUAUGCCACAAUUUGUUUAUCCAUUCACCUGUUGAUGGACAUUUGAGCUGUUUCCUGUUUGAGGCUAUUACAAAUAAAGCUGCUUUACAAA